UAAAUCACAUGCUAAAAUACAAUAAAAGUGUAAAAUACACAGUAAAAUGUCCUUUUAGUUGUUUUUUAGUCGGUAUCAUAAAAGACUAUUGAAGUUGUCAUGAUAAUACAAAAUAACUAGUAACAUAUCAACGACAAAUAAAACGUUACGCUGAAAAUUCACAUUCAACUUGUAGUGUAAAUCAACUUGGAGUCAUCACGUGUUUUGGCCGUUAUCAAAGUGCAUUAUGGGGAUUUCGCGGGAGUCGUUACUUUACUUUCGUCCUGCACCCUUUCGCACGAGGCUGUGGUGUCAUCGUCGACUCGGACUGUUUUCAAGGUUGCUGGUUCCAAAAUAAUCUGGAAGUUUGUAUGCAGAGUUCCAGAGGAUAACCAAUCAGAACCUGCCCAACCGAUUCUAUGCUGAGCUUGACCGCCAUCUUCCACGACUAAUGACUUUAUUUAGGCAGAAGGCAUCAAGAACUGGAAAGACAGCAGAUGCUCUGGCUGAAAUUUUAAAAAUCCACGAUGAACAGGAAAACCAGGACAUACACACCAAACGUACGACUGUUCUCCACGGCCUUCCUGUCUAUCUGCGAGGAUGUAUCUGGAUUCUUCAGAACCUGCACAGACGAGUCUGAUGAGCCAGAGCUUGAUGGGGUUGCAGUGGGCCUCCUUACUGUCACCAGUGACAAUAACACAAGUGCAGUUCACUACCACCCUGUGAAAAUCUCUGAUUAUUGAAAGUGAUGUCAUGGUUAGUCUCCCCAGACUUGGCGAUGCCUUCCUGGUAGUCUUUGGAUUCAUGUAUGCACUACACCUCAGCUACCCCAAAGCACUUACCAAGACUUUUGAGUUCAUUCAAAAGAUCUUACUUGGCCUAGAAAGUGGCAAACUGUCACCGAAGUUGCAGACCCUCAAGAACGUUUUGAUGACCUAGAAACGGAAGGCUGCAGCGGUAUACCAUUAUAAAAGGUUCAACAUGUUCAAGUUAAAAGGUCUAUGAUCACGUCUUGCAGCUUUGCAAUGCAGCGCCAUCAUGUGAUCUGUUCAUGUAUGUUAUUGUGUUGUGUAUUAUGGAGGAAAAAAAGGCAGAGGUCAUGGUUCUCGGGUAGUUAUCUUUGUGCAGAUACAUUUUUUAAAAAUUCUUUUAUGCCUCAUGUACGUGUUUCCUGUUAAUGUCAAUUUAUCAACAAUAGCGGUAAAGAUCAUCAUUAUCUUUUAAACGUAAAGAUACAAUUUAUUUUAGAAGUUUAACUUUGGUUGCAAAGUUGAAAUGUUUUAUUUGUUGUGCCCAUAUUCAUUCAAAUAAUUAAAAUGAUCAGCCACUAUAAAGAUGGAAGUUUUUCUUUUUUUCCUGAAAAUGUUCUGAAACAGUUCUGUUGUAUUUAAUCCAAAAUGCCGCACUAUAUACUCAGGAAGCCAAGAGCAGUG